UACGGGGGGGGCAAGCGUUGUUCGGAAUUACUGGGCGUAAAGGGCGCGUAGGCGGCCUUCUAAGUCGGACGUGAAAUCCCUCAGCUUAACUGGGGAACUGCGUCCGAUACUGGAUGGCUUGGAUUUGGGAGAGGGAUGCGGAAUUCCAGGUGUAGCGGUGAAAUGCGUAGAUAUCUGGAGGAACACCGGUGGCGAAGGCGGCAUCCUGGACCAAUAUUGACGCUGAGGAGCGAAAGCCAGGGGAGCAAACGGG
rnacentral:rRNA from 1 species